rnacentral:misc_RNA from 1 species
UUACAAUUAUUUUGGAAGAAGAGGAAGAAAAGAACCUGAAGUCCUUACAGCUGCAUCGUUGAAGCGAUUGUAUGUAGAAAAUAGGCCAUAUUUGGUUGGUGGCCAUAGUCAACAUGAUCAAUCGAGCAACACAUUGUCUUCCUCAUGUGCUGGUUCUAAACACACUUUUGACCUUCAAAAGUUGAGGUGUUCACAGCUUACGUCGAGGAGCAUUGUUUCAAUGGUUGAGAAAUACAACUACAUGAAAGAAACGUUAGGCCAAAGACUAGCCUUCGGGAAAUCCGGAAUACAUGGGUUUGGCAUCUUUGCGAAGCUCCCUCAGAAAGCAGGAGACAUGGUAAUUGAAUACACUGGAGAACUCGUUAGACCUCCUAUUGCCGACCGAAGGGAGCACCUAAUUUACAACUCACUAGUGGGGGCUGGAACAUACAUGUUCCGAAUUGAUGAUCAGCGUGUUAUAGAUGCCACAAGGGCUGGAAGCAUUGCACAUUUGAUCAACCAUUCAUGUGAACCAAAUUGCUACUCAAGAGUUAUAAGUGUCAACAGCAUUGACCAUAUAAUCAUAUUUUCCAAACGAGAUAUUGAACAAUGGGAAGAACUGACAUAUGAUUACAGAUUCUUAUCUAUCGAUGAACAACUUGCGUGUUAUUG